rnacentral:rRNA from 1 species
AUUGAACGCUGGCGGCAGGCCUAACACAUGCAAGUCGAACGAGUGGCGGACGGGUGAGUAAUGUCUGGGGAACUGUCCGAGGGAGGGGGAUAAAUACUGGAAACGGUAGCUAAUAACGCAUACCAUCUGAUAUGCCCAGAGUGGGUUAGCUUGUUGGUGGGGUAACGGCUCACCUAGGCGACGAUCCCUAGCUGGUCUGAGAGGAGGAGCAGCAACACGGGAACUGAGACACGGUCCAGACUCCUACGGGAGGCAGCCGUGGGGAAUAUUGCACAAUGGGCGCAAGCCUGAUGCAGCCAUGCCGCGUGUAUGAAGAAGGCCUUCGGGUUGUAAAGUACUUUCAGCGGGGAGGCGUUACCCGCAGAAGAAGCACCGGCUAACUCCGUGCCAGCAGCCGCGGUAAUUC